rnacentral:rRNA from 1 species
UACCCGCAGCACAAGUGGUGGUCAUUAUUAUUGGGCCUAAAGCGUCCGUAGCUGGCCUGUUAGAUGCCUGGGUAAAUCGAUGCGCUCGACGCAUCGAAUUCCGGGUAGACCGGCAGGCUCGGGACCGGGAGAGGUGUAGGCUACUCGAGGGGUAGGGGUAAAAUCCUGUAAUCCUUCGGGGAGGACCAGUGGCGAAGGCGCUACACUAGAACGGCUCCGACAGUGAGGGACGAAGCCCUGGGGCGCAAACCGG